rnacentral:sRNA from 1 species
CGACCGCACUGCCCCGUCGGGCCCUCA